rnacentral:rRNA from 1 species
AUUUUUAAUUGGAAUCUAGAAUGAAUGGUUGAAUGAAAUAUAAUCUGUUUUUAUAAAAAUUUUUUAAUUUUAUUAUUUAGUUAAAAAGCUAAAAUAAUAAUUAGGGACGAGAAGACCCUAUAGAUUUUUAUAUUAAUUUAAUUAUUUUAAUAAUAUUUAUUUAAUUUUUAUACUUUUUAAUAUUUUAUUGGGGGGAUAAAAAAAAUUAUUUAACUUUUUUAUUAUGAAAAUUAUUAUAAAAAUUUUUUUGAUCCAUAAAAAUGAUUAAAAAUUUAAAUUACCUUAGGGAUAACAGCAUAAUUUUUUUAUAAAGUUCAUAUUAAUAAAAAAGAUUAU